rnacentral:rRNA from 1 species
AUUGAACGCUGGCGGCAUGCCUUACACAUGCAAGUCGAACGGUAACGGGCCUUCGGGUGCCGACGAGUGGCGAACGGGUGAGUAAUACAUCGGAACGUGCCCGAUCGUGGGGGAUAACGAGGCGAAAGCUUUGCUAAUACCGCAUACGAUCUACGGAUGAAAGCAGGGGACCGCAAGGCCUUGCGCGGACGGAGCGGCCGAUGGCAGAUUAGGUAGUUGGCGGGAUAAAAGCUUACCAAGCCGACGAUCUGUAGCUGGUCUGAGAGGAUGAUCAGCCACACUGGGACUGAGACACGGCCCAGACCCCUACGGGAGGCAGCAGUGGGGAAUUUUGGACAAUGGGCGCAAGCCUGAUCCAGCCAUGCCGCGUGCAGGAUGAAGGCCUUCGGGUUGUAAACUGCUUUUGUACGGAACGAAAAGCCUUCUUUUAAUACAGGAGGGUCAUGACGGUACCGUAAGAAUAAGCACCGGCUAACUACGUG